rnacentral:rRNA from 1 species
UACGGAGGGUGCAAGCGUUAUCCGGAUUUACUGGGCUUAAAGGGUGCGUAGGCGGGCAUGUAAGUCAGAUGUGAAAUACCGGAGCUUAACUUCGGAACUGCCAUUGAUACUAUAUGUCUUGAAUAUUGUGGAGGUAAGCGGAAUAUGUCAUGUAGCGGUGAAAUGCAUAGAUAUGACAUAGAACACCGAUUGCGGAGGCAGCUUGCUACGCAAAUAUUGACGCUGAGGGACGAAAGCUAGGGGAGCGAAAGGG